UGUUGGGUUGUGAGAGGUGUUUUCUCUUCCUCUCUUUGUGUACGGGCCUGUAUUUACAAAUGAAACAAGAACAAAAAUCAGCUGUUAAACUUCCUGUUUGCUACAGCUAAAGUUCCAAUCUGGAUCACUAGACGUAAUCAUCCAAUCUCUGAGGGAUGUGUUGAUGUUCAACAGAUGUUUUAGUUCUUUAAGAUCAAGGUUACUCGUGGAGUAUGUUUAUUUGAAAGUGACUGAAAGGCUAGAGGAGUUCUCCCAAAUGUGGCUGUAGAAAGAGUUUUGGACCAUGUCAAUGCUGAUGGAGAAGUCAUUUUCUCUUUCUAAACCCCAGUGCUCACGUCAUCAUUCAUUGAUGUUUGUUUUUACCACCAUGUCAGGAUUUUUGAUACGUUUGAGCUCAUUUCAGAUGGAAAUAUGUCCAAUAAAGAGAAUUUGAACAUCAAAAUCUUUAGAAGAACUGAAGGAUGAAAAACAGGAACUUUGUCUUUAAAUGAAACUCUUUCUUCUGGAUUCAGGUUGUGGUUCUGCAGUUUGUCAAAGAUCAGCUGUGAUGCUCUGGUCUCAGCUGUGAAGUCCAACCCGUCCCACCUGACAGAACUGGACCUGAUGUUCAACUUCCUUCAGUCUUCAGAUGUUGAGCAGCUCCAGGAUCUGGUGAAGAGUCCAAACUUCAAACUGCAGACUCUGAGGUUCUGAUGUUCCUCCUUUUGGAUCAAAGAGGAUCAUCAUCAUCAUCAUCAUCAUCAUCAUCAUCAUCAGCUGGUCUGCAGAGAUGUUGUUCCUGGAGGUGGAGAGCAGAGUGAUGGAGGAAUCAGAGGAAGUGGAGAUGAGUGUCAGAGCUGCAGCAUGAACUGAUCUGAGAUCAGCUCCACUGUCUCUCUCAGCAUCAAGUGGACAGUUAUUGUGCUGCAGCUCCCCCGGUCGACUGAUGGAGAACUGCACUUUUCUCAUUCUAACUUGGAGUGUUGAUCUGAAACAUCAGUUGGAUUCAGAUGUUCAGCAGCUCCAGGAUCUGGAGAAACAAACAGAUUCUUUUCUAGAUCAUCACUUUCUUCUUUCAUCUACAUUUGAUGAAGAGAUCUGGACCAAUCAAGGAUUGAGGGAAUCAUUGAUCAGACACAACAUUUCUGGAGUGGAUCCCCAAAUCCGUCCCCCUGGUUCCUUCAAAUAAACCCUAAAUCAUUGAGGAACAGCAUGUCAAAGAAAGUCUAGAACCUGAGGAGCUACUUCUAGCACUUCAAGCUACUGAGAUGUGUGACCCCAGAUAGAGCUUAACAUGCUAAGCAGGCUGUUGUUUCUCUGUACGACACAGACAAAUGAAAGUCUUUCACUCUGAUCACUUUAGCAAUUCAUUGAUUCUUUGAUUAUUGACAUUACUGAUACAGAUUUGACUUCUUUGACUUCAUUUCCUGUUAAAAACCUUUCUCCUUCUGGCUGAAGCACACCUGUCUGACGUCAGCCAAUCAAAUUCAUCAAUUAUUUCCUCUUUGAUCCAUAUCAACAACAAAUCUACUUCAAGUUUUUUAGCAGGAUAUAUCCAAUGCAAUAUUCUAAAAGACACCUCUUUGACUUUGUUAUUUCAACAGUAUUUGUCACCAAUAGUCCAAACAGAAGUCCAGUUGAUGUCAUCUCAUUUCUAGUCCCAGUAAAAUCUCCCAGCAGGUAAAGUUGUGUUCUGGAAAAGAUUUCUUCUUUGCUUCUUAGAAACUGAAUGAACCCAAAUAUCCACAUCAGCCAAAACAAUAGUCUGAGUUCUUCACUGAUGGUUUCCAAAUCCCUUUAAAGAGUUGGAGUAGACUGGUUGGAAUGACAUCAACUAUUGCAGAUUCUUUGGUGGAACAGGAAAACUGAAUUUGGAAAGAAAUUCUUCAUGUAUCAGAAGAUGUCCAUGAGAACUGAAAAGUUGUCUUAUCAGAAUCAAAUCAUUUUCAUACCAUCUAGAAAAAAAGAGAUUUCUGUUUGGAUUGUACAUCACUGUUAUUCCAAAUCAAACAAGAUGUUGGAGAAAAUGUCUUUAGAAAUGAGUUUCCAGGCCAACAGGGCUUGGUAAUAAAAGUUUGAAAGUUUUGUG